CCCCCAGGUAGGAUAAUUCUUCCCUGUUUCUCUAUUUAGAGGGUAGAUAUAACAUGAUGGUUGGAGUUUACAUGAUUUGUGAUUAAUGGCGCUGAAUGAGUAGAGCUCACAAUGCCCUAAUUGCCUCCUAUCUGAA